rnacentral:sRNA from 1 species
GCAAAACGGCAAGUGAGUGAAGUAUUCAGAGGAAAUUCAUUCAUUCUAUCCAAGGAACUCUGAACUAAGUUAAGAUAUAUGCACUUGAAGUGCCUCAGGACUUUGUUUUCUUCUUCCUAUCCAUAGAAUAAUAAUGAGCCAUGGAUGUAUUUACAGCUCUGAUUGACACACUUCCGUGAAUUCCUUCUCAACUUUCCACAUCGGCCCUUGAAAUGGAACUCCUGGAAUCCGGUGAAAAUACGAUCGGGCUCAAUGGCAUCAUCGACAAGAUCAACUCACAGAGAAGUUCAUGGUGGUAUCCCAUAUGCUCCUUCUCAUGGGUCUAAAUGGGUCUAAACCAUUGCCAUAACUUUCAGGCUUGCUUUCAUUUUCUACAACAU